UUUGAAUUGCAGAGCCACAACC
rnacentral:piRNA from 1 species